UAGCGCUGUGGAACCACCCGAUCCCAUCCCGAACUCGGAAGUGAAACGCAGCUGCGCCGAUGGUAGUGUGGCUCAAGCCAUGCGAGAGUAGGUCAUCGCCA
rnacentral:rRNA from 1 species